rnacentral:rRNA from 1 species
CAUAAUAACUUAACGAAUCGCAUGGCUUGUGCCGGCGAUGGUUCAUUCAAAUUUCUGCCCUAUCAACUUUCGAUUGUAAGGUAGUGGCUUACAAUGGUUUCAACGGGUAACGGGGAAUUAGGGUUCUAUUCCGGAGAGGGAGCCUGAGAAACGGCUACCACAUCCAAGGAAGGCAGCAGGCGCGCAAAUUACCCAAUCCCGACACGGGGAGGUAGUGACAAUAAAUACUGAUACAGGGCUCUUUUGGGUCUUGUAAUUGGAAUGAGUACAAUUUAAAUCCCUUAACGAGGAACAAUUGGAGGGCAAGUCUGGUGCCAGCAGCCGCGGUAAUUCCAGCUCCAAUAGCGUAUAUUAAAGUUGUUGCAGUUAAAAAGCUCGUAGUUGAACCUUGGGCCUGGCUGGCCGGUCCGCCUCACCGCGUGCACUGGUCCGGCCGGGUCUUUCCUUCUGGGGAGCCGAUGCCCUUUACUGGGUGUGUCGGGGAACCAGGACUUUUACU